GAAGGUCAGUGAGUUUCUGGGCUUCUGACAGACCGUUGCAUCCUUCAUCCAGUGCUGCACAACUGUUUCUGGAUUCUGAGUCAUGGAGAAGGCAAAAGAAUUGUCAAAGGAUCUGCAAGAAAAGAUGGAUUUAAGACAGUUAUCCGCCCGCACCAGAGAAGAAGCAGCAGGAAUGAGAGAUGUAAGUGAAGUCCUAGCUAGCUAGGCAACAUCAUUGUCUUAAGUUGAUGCUAAGUUAGCUAACAUUAUUCCUUGUAUCAAGACAAACAUAUUCAUUUGCUGUACGAGCUGUCGGGGGAAUUUCCAAUGAACAUGAAACAUCAUGUUGGUUAUUGUCUGCUGCUUCUGCAUCAAUGAUGAUUUGGAGUCAGCAUGUGUGAGUCAAAUGCUUUAUCUUCAGGAAGAAAAACAUUUUUCCAUAUCAUCAAGUCGUGAGACAAAUUUUUAAAUCCUUCAAGUUUAUUUCACAGAAAAAUAGCACAGUAGACUUGUCUUGUUAAUCGCUGUGACUUUGACUAAAAUAAUCUUGUUUUGUCACCAGAAAAAUGGCUACAGCUAAAGCAUCUGGUUUUGUUUCCAGAAAAAAUAAUAACAUUUCUGUAUUUGUUUUCAGAAAGAUGGCUGAAAAUAUCGGGUUUUGUUGCCCCAUUUAGAUUUUUAAAAAAUAUAUUUCCAUGUCUGUCCUGAGUCCUCCUCCAACUUGUUAGUCGCUUUGCCUUUUGCUAAAAUACUCACUAAUAGUCACUAGAAAAAUGGCUAAAAAUAUCCACAUUUUGAUUUUUUUCUCCCUAAACUUUUUUUUUUUCAUGCACACAUGUGACUGAAAAUGACCCACAAUCCACUUUUAUGUCGCGACCCAGCAGUUGGGAACCACUGGUCAACUGUACAACAGUUACUGUAAUAUUUCCAUGUCUGUCCAGAGUGAUUGACCACUUUGCAAAAAUGAAAAGGAGACGUUCCAGUUGUUCAUUUAUUCUACUACUGUGGCUUUAUUGUUUUGUGUAUAUUUUAUAGUUUUGUGUAUCUGAAAUAGGAUUAGCCACAUUGCCAUAAAUGGAAAUUAAAUAAUAUAAAAGAACCCAGAGAUGUAGGGGUGCUUUAUUUUUGGUUUUACUUUUGUAGAUGUUAAAUUUGCAGAUGAUUACUGCAAUAUAUAGAUUCAUUGCUCUUCCUUUUUGCUUUUACCAAUAGCAGUUUAGAAGUCUGGAGUAAAAAAGUGCACAAGUAGGUCAAAUGCAUGAGUUAAUUUCAGGUGGUUGAUCAAAGAUCCAUACAACAUCAUCUGAUAUGAUUUCAUAGUUUAAAGCACUAUUUAUGUACUUUUUAUGAUAAAUAAGUGCUAAAAAUGUUUUUGCUUGCGCGCUUUGCAUGCUCACAUGAAUUAUUUGUGCCCCAGGUGUGCCCCAGUAAAGUAUUAGGUCUAGUGACGCCCCUGAGGCAGGGUACACCCUGGACAAGUCGCCACCUCAUCGCAGGGCCAACACAGAUAGACAGACAACAUUCACACACUAGGGCCAAUUUAGUGUUGCCAAUCAACCUAUCCUAGUAGAAGCAUUUAAGUCUCACCUUAAAACUCAUCUGUAUACUCUAGCCUUUAAAUAGACCUCCUUUUUAGACCAGUUGAUCUGCCGCUUCUUUUCUUUCUCCUAUGUCCCCCCCUCCCUUGUGGAGGGGGUCCGGUCCGAUGACCAUGGAUGAAGUACUGGCUGUCCAGAGUCGAGACCCAGGAUGGACCGCUCGUCGGGACCCAGGAUGGACCGCUCGCCUGUAUCGGUUGGGGACAUCUCUACGCUGCUGAUCCGCUUGAGAUGGUUUCCUGUGGACGGGACUCUCGCGGCUGUGUUGGAGCCACUAUGGAUUGAACUUUCACAGUAUCAUGUUAGACCCGCUCGACAUCCAUUGCUUUCGGUCCCCUAGAGGGGGGGGGUUGCCCACAUCUGAGGUCCUCUCCAAGGUUUCUCAUAGUCAGCAUUGUCACUGGCGUCCCACUGGAUGUGAAUUCUCCCUGCCCACUGGGUGUGAGUUUUCCUUGCCCUUUUGUGGGUUCUUCCGAGGAUGUCGUAGUCGUAAUGAUUUGUGCAGUCCUUUGAGACAUUUGUGAUUUGGGGCUAUAUAAAUAGACAUUGAUUGAUCCCCAGGUGCAUGUCUUUGGAGGUGGGAGGAAGCCGGAGUACCCGGAGGGAACCCACGCACUCACGGGGAGAACAUGCAAACUCCACACAGAAAGAUCCCGAGCCUGGAUUUGAACCUAGGAUUAUUUACAAUAUAUUUGAGAGCCCAACCCCAUGGGUUUAGUGUCAUUUCUCAUGAGUGAGCUAUGCUACUGUACAUGAUUAACUUUCACCAUUUUCAUAUAUAUGCCUUUUAUUUAAGUAAAUACACUUCAGAAUACAUGCUGCAGGUUUUGUAAAAGCAAAAUAUCCUGUUAGUAUUGCCAUUUUUUUUUCUCUGACAGACACACGUGUAUUUUACAAUGUACUAUAUUACAAACAUGUAGAUAUGUGGUACAAAUCUGAGUACAGUAAUAAUAAUAAAAAAGGAAGACAGUA